rnacentral:lncRNA from 1 species
CAAUAGUAUCAUCAAUAAAAAUACAAUUUUAUUCAUCCACAUCUAUGAUGUUUAUUUUUACUUUUCCCUUUUUCUGAAAAUGCUAAUCACAAAAAAUAAAAAGCUAUAAUUUUUCUAGAUCUGAAUAAUAUUUGUUGGCAGUCCAUUUCUCUAACAUCAAAAUAUAAUAUCAUUAUGCAGGUUGAUUCUCAAACCAAUUAAACGUAAUAAUC